rnacentral:rRNA from 1 species
UACGUAGGGGGCUAGCGUUGUCCGGAAUCAUUGGGCGUAAAGCGCGUGUAGGCGGUCCGGUAAGUCCGCUGUGAAAGUCCGGGGCUCAACCCUCGGAUGCCGGUGGAUACUGUCGGGCUUGAGUACGGAAGAGGCGAGUGGAAUUCCUGGUGUAGCGGUGAAAUGCGCAGAUAUCAGGAGGAACACCAAUUGCGAAGGCAGCUCGCUGGGACGUUACUGACGCUGAGACGCGAAAGCGUGGGGAGCAAACAGG